rnacentral:rRNA from 1 species
CAGCAGCCACGGUAAAACGUAGGGUGCAAGCGUUAAUCGGAAUUACUGGGCGUAAAGCGUGCGCAGGCGGUUAUAUAAGACAGAUGUGAAAUCCCCGGGCUCAACCUGGGAACUGCAUUUGUGACUGUAUAGCUAGAGUACGGCAGAGGGGGAUGGAAUUCCGCGUGUAGCAGUGAAAUGCGUAGAUAUGCGGAGGAACACCGAUGGCGAAGGCAAUCCCCUGGGCCUGUACUGACGCUCAUGCACGAAAGCGUGGGGAGCAAACAGGAUUAGAUACCCCGGUAGUCCCUGUCUCUUAUAC